rnacentral:rRNA from 1 species
UGAGGAAUAUUGGUCAAUGGACGCAAGUCUGAACCAGCCAAGUAGCGUGCAGGAUGACGGCCCUAUGGGUUGUAAACUGCUUUUAUAUGGGGAUAAAGUGGGGAACGUGUUCCCUUUUGCAGGUACCAUAUGAAUAAGGACCGGCUAAUUCCGUGCCAGCAGCCGCGGUAAUACGGAAGGUUCGGGCGUUAUCCGGAUUUAUUGGGCGUAAAGCGAGCGCAGGCGGUUAGAAAAGUCUGAAGUGAAAGGCAGUGGCUCAACCAUUGUAGGCUUUGGAAACUGGUUAACUUGAGUGCAGAAGGGGAGAGUGGAAUUCCAUGUGUAGCGGUGAAAUGCGUAGAUAUAUGGAGGAACACCGGUGGCGAAAGCGGCUCUCUGGUCUGUAACUGACGCUGAGGCUCGAAAGCGUGGGGAGCGAACAGG